rnacentral:rRNA from 1 species
UACGGAGGAUCCAAGCGUUAUCCGGAAUCAUUGGGUUUAAAGGGUCCGUAGGCGGUCUUUUAAGUCAGAGGUGAAAUCCUACAGCUCAACUGUAGAAUUGCCUUUGAUACUGAAAGACUUGAGUUAUUGUGAAGUAGUUAGAAUGUGUGGUGUAGCGGUGAAAUGCAUAGAGAUCACACAGAAUACCGAUUGCGAAGGCAGAUUACUAACAAUAUACUGACGCUGAGGGACGAAAGCGUGGGUAGCGAACAGG